AAAGUAUCAGCGCCGCUUCGUGGAGCCUGGCGACUGCUUUGGGAAGUCCUGCUGGCAGGCACUCUGCCCCUGGGGGUGUGCAAAGAGUUGUCCAGUUACCUUGAUCUUCUCACAGCCUCCUCCCCAGGGCACCAGGAGAGACCAGGAUUGGAGGACGGUAAAGAACACACUUCCCAGAGGAUUCUUGGAGGUGGCUUCCUCCAGGCAGUAAAUCUACAGCCCAGGCUCCCUGCAUCUUAUGGCUCCAAUCACUUUGGAUCUCAUCGUCGCCUGCACAUUGCCAUACACAGGGAAGGAGAAGAGAUGGAGAAGGCAAAGACUUUCUGAAAGCCGUGGCUAAAAGCUGGCAUGUGUCACAUCAGCUCACAUUCCAUUGUAGAGACGGGGUUUCACCGUGUUAGCCAGGAUGGUCUUGAUAUCCUGACCUCGUGAUCCGCCCGCCUUGGCUUCCCAAAGUGCUGGGAUUACAGGCGUGAGCCACCGCUCCCGGCCUGGCAGGCAUUCUUGAGGCAAACGGGAAAUGGGGUAAGUUACACAAUCGAUACAGCUCCGUCAUCGUGGUUUAAUUACUUUUCCACGUACCAUGUUUCCUGACAGGUAGAACGAUCAGCCUGGGCCUCCGUUUUUCAUUCUACAAAGAAUGAAGUGCAUGAACUGUCCUCUAUAGAAUUGUGGAAAAAGUUGUUUUUAUUGAGUUGUGGUUAUCUUUGUCUUCAUGGUCUAAUUACGGAAAUAAAUGCUUUUCCGAGUCUCCGGGGAUGGUCUGCCCUAGUCCAGCUCUCUGCAGUGUCUUUCUGGGUUUUUCCUCAGUGAACGGGAGGAACAUUGGCAGCACUUGUGGUCUGCACCAAGAACUGAAUCGAAUUUCCAUGUGUUAUUGAAUGUUCACAAAGACCUUGUACAGCGAGUGUUACUACCUCUGGUCAAUGAUUCAACUCAAGGCUCAGAAAAGUCAAGUGUCUUGUCCAGGGACACUUAGUCAGAAGUGAAUCCAAGGUUUAAGCUCAAGUCUGCCUAACUCUGAAUUUCACAGCCUUUUGCUACAUAUGGCGAAUAAUAUAUCCCUGAGCACUAAAGGCAGACUCCAAGGAUCUUGUCUCUGCAAUCAUCAUUCUGGCCAUAAUUUAUGAAAAGCAACCCAAAGUAUGUGAUGUAAUAAAAAGUACUAUCUAUGAGUUUACCCUUCCAAAAAUUGAACUGAAUUCUGAGCUCUAAAUUUGGAAUCAAAAGAACUUUUCUCUGCACUAAUCAUUUGGAACAUCACUUAAAGAAAACAACGAAAAACUGGUGUCCCCUGAGAGAAAGCAAUACAAAACAUUAUGCAUAAAGAAAUCCUUCCAAAAAAUAAACCAAAUCCAGUCAAAUCUCUAGUUUUGACUCCUAGCUUACCGGAAAUACGUGAUGGGAAAAAAAUGAAAUGACACCACUAUGAUUCAAUCAGCCAAAUCCAGCAUAUGCAAAUUUCUACCAGAUAAAUGGUUUAGUUUCUUCCCCAAACAAAUGGCACAAGGAAACGGAGAUGGAGUUCCCCUCUGCCACCCAGACUGGAGUACAGUGGCGCGAUCCUGGCCAUCGCAACCUCCGCCUCCCAGAUCCCUCCUACAACACAUGAGAAUUGUGGGUGCUACAAUUCAAGAUGAGAUUUGAGUGGGGACAAAGUCAAACCAUAUCAUUAGAUAGGACACUGGAGAAAGGCAAGAAAGAAAAGACAUCUGAAGAAUGAAGGGAGCCAAAGAAAUGCCAACAUUUUGCUUUUUGAAGAAAAGCUAAAUUAAAGUCAAAAUGGAUUUAUCAAUUUCCUUGGGUUCGUGAAUGUACAGAACUUUAUUAAGACUGUCAUGCUGUCAUCAUGGCUGGAUCUGAUACGGCCACCGUGGACCUUGAGGUGACCUCGGGAAUGGAGACAGUGCAUGGGAGAGAAUCACAUUGGAAGGGGCCUGGGUUUCUGAAGACCCUGUAAGACAGAUCUCCUUGCAGCCCUGACUGCCCACAUUAGGGCUUUUAUGUUAGGGUGAAGUUACCUUGCAUUGUCAUAUAAGCAAUUGCUAUUUGUGGUGUCUUGCAAAUAAACCUAUUCUGAUCUAGUAUGUUUCCUAA
ensembl:lncRNA LINC00939 long intergenic non-protein coding RNA 939